rnacentral:rRNA from 1 species
UAAUUGAAGAGUUUGAUCAUGGCUCAGAUUGAACGCUGGCGGCAGGCCUAACACAUGCAAGUCGAACGGUAACAGGGAGCAGCUUGCUGCUCUGCU